rnacentral:rRNA from 1 species
CAGCAGCCGCGGUAAAACGAAGGGUGCAAGCGUUAAUCGGAAUUACUGGGCGUAAAGCGUGCGUAGGCGGUUUGUUAAGUCUGCUGUGAAAUCCCCGGGCUCAACCUGGGAAUGGCAGUGGAUACUGGCAAGCUAGAGUGUGUCAGAGGAUGGUGGAAUUCCCGGUGUAGCGGUGAAAUGCGUAGAGAUCGGGAGGAACAUCAGUGGCGAAGGCGGCCAUCUGGGACAACACUGACGCUGAGGCACGAAAGCGUGGGGAGCAAACAGGAUUAGAUACCCCCGUAGUCCCUGUCUCUUAUAU